UAAGUGGUUACACAGAGAAAACCCAAGGCAGUGAGAACGUGGGGAUAGCCUAAGAUGGGGGAAGGGAAGACAUCUUCAGUCUUUUCCGUGAAGAAUGAUACACAUCAUUUCUUGAAAGUGAGCAACGAAGGUGCAAUAUUGGAGACAAGGAAAGACAGCUGUGAGGGAGCUAAGGUGAGAACAACUAAAAUAAUGAUUAAAUGAGCAACAUAUGUACAGACACACUGCACAGUGCUUAGCUCACACUCAGCGUCUAUGACACGUUCUGUUUAAAUGAAUGGAAGGGCAGCAGGAAGGGGCUCUUAUUGGAGGAUACCAGGCAAGUGGUUCUUAUUGGCUGUCUGGGAAAUCCAUGUCAGUGGCUGGGGCUGGACACACUUCUACUCCUUUGGGGUGGCCUUACAAACUCCCAGAGGACUGAUUCUCUCUCUGAAACCCAGCCCAAUCCACAUGAGGAAAUCUUCACACUGGAGAUGGACUUAGGAUUUGUCACUGAAAAGCGAAUCUUGUGGAAUAGUAUUAUCCUUCUUUUCUGCACAUAAUUCAAUAAUCACCCGAGGCAAAGAUGUGAACUUAAAGGAAGACCUAAAAGAUAAGAGGUAUUUACGAAGAAGAAUGUGGGGGAAAAGACUCAAGACAGAGAAAGUAGCAAGGAGUAUGGUGCAUCGAAGGAAAGGAACAGAGGCAAUGUGGCCAGAGAACACAAAACUCACUUUGGGCUUGGGCCUUGCAGUGCCGCUCCAGGGAACAAUGCUGGCUGGACAAGUCCUAAAACCACUCAACUGUGUUUCUAUUGCCACAGAUCUGCAGUAUGCUCUUCUUCCCACCCCCAUGUCCCUGGUAUUUUCUGAAUCCUCUGGGAUGCAUCACCUCAUCACUGGGAUGCUGUAGUUGCUGACCAAACAAAACCAUGAGUUGCCGUUGCUAUUCUUGAUCAUUCUUCACUCUCAUGAAUGCUAAUUGAAAACUCUCGCUUUCUUAUAUACUACAAAUUCUGUAAGCAAAGAGGCAUCACUUGGAGCCAACAGAGUAUGUUUUAUGACUUAUAUAAAACAAUAAAAUCAGAACAAUCAAAAUACAGUCUUAUUUGAAGCCAUGGGUUUAUUAUUAGUAAGCUGUAUGUUAACAAUUAACUUUCCAGUGUAUCAAAUUU